rnacentral:rRNA from 1 species
CGAGUUUGAUCCUGGCUCAGGAUAAACGCUGGCGGCGUGCCUAACACAUGCAAGUCGAACGCGCACGGGGAGCAAUCCGCGUGUGAGUGGCGGACGGGUGAGUAACACGUGGGUACCUGCCCUUUGGUGAGGAAUACCGGCGAGAAAUCGCCGACAAUACCGCAUACGUUUGUGCAAACAAACAAAGCCCGCAAGGGCGCCGGAGGAAGGGCCUGCGGCCGAUUAGCUAGUUGGUGGGGUAAAAGCCUACCAAGGCGACGAUCGGUAGCUGGUCUGAGAGGAUGAUCAGCCACACUGGGAUUGAGAACGGCCCAGACUCCUACGGGGGGCAGCAGUGAGGAAUUUUCGUCAAUGGGGGAAACCCUGAACGAGCAACGCCGCGUGCAGGAAGAAGGUUUUCGGAUCGUAAACUGCUUUUCUCUGGGACGAGAACGGACGGUACCAGAGGAAGAAGCCCCGGCUAACUACGUGCCAGCAGCCGCGGUAAUACGUAGGGGGCGAGCGUUGUCCGGAUUUAUUGGGCGUAAAGCGCACGCAGGCGGUCAGCCAAGUUCGGAGUGACAGUUUCCGGCUUAACCGGGAAAGGUCUUCGAAAACUGGCAGACUUGAGKACUUGAGRGGGAGACGGAAUUCCGGGUGGAGCGGUGAAAUGCGUAGAKAUCCGGAGGAACACCGAARGCGAAGGCAGUCUCCUGGCAAGUUACUGACGCUCAGGUGCGAAAGCUAGGGGAGCGAACAGGAUUAGAUACCCUGGUAGUCCUAGCCGUAAACGAUGACCACUAGGCGUGGGAGGUAUCGACCCCUUCCGUGCCGCAGCAUACGCAUUAAGUGGUCCGCCUGGGGAGUACGGUCGCAAGAUUAAAACUCAAAGGAAUUGACGGGGACCCGCACAAGCAGCGGAGCGUGUGGUUUAAUUCGAUGCAACGCGAAGAACCUUACCAGGAUUUGACAUGCAAUUGCACCAUCUGUUAUGGGAUGUCCGAGCAAUCGGCGGUUGCACAGGUGCUGCAUGGCUGUCGUCAGCUCGUGUCGUGAGAUGUUGGGUUCU